rnacentral:rRNA from 1 species
UGAGUAACCUGCCCUUCACUCUGGGAUAACUCCGGGAAACCGGGGCUAAUACUGGAUAUGACUCGAACAGGCAUCUGUUUCGGGUGGAAAGAUUUAUUAGUGGAGGAUGGACUCGCGGCCUAUCAGCUUGUUGGUGAGGUAAUGGCUCACCAAGGCGACGACGGGUAGCCGGCCUGAGAGGGUGACCGGCCACACUGGGACUGAGAUACGGCCCAGACCUCCUACGGGAGCA